AUACUUAACUGGUAAGGGAGAUACCAUGAUUAUGAAGGUGGUUUUCCCAGGGUGAGGCUUAUCCGUUGCACUCCGAAUGUGCUGACCCCUGCAAUUUCCCCAAAUGUAGGAAACUCAACUGCAUAAUUUGUGGUAGUGGGGGACUACAUUCAUACUCUGCCCUA